GAUGAAGAACGUAGCGAAAUGCGAUAAGUAGUGUGAAUUGCAGAAUUCAGUGAAUCAUCGAAUCUUUGAGCGCACAUUGCGCCCCUUGGUAUUCCAUGGGGCAUGCCUGUUCGAGCGUCAUUUGUACCUUCAAGCUUUGCUUGGUGUUGGGUGUUUGUCCAUUCUCUUGCAGAGGGACUCGCCUUAAAGUAAUUGGCAGCCAGUGUUUUGGUUUUGAAGCGCAGCACAAGUCGCGAUUCAAAGCUAUACGCCCGCUUCCACAAGCCUUUUUCACUUUUGACCUCGGAUCAGGUAGGGAUACCCGCUGAACUUAAGCAUAUCAAUAAGCGGAGGA
rnacentral:misc_RNA from 1 species